AUGAAGACUUUCCUGCUCCUCUUUAUAUCACUGGCCUGCUUGUCAGGUGUCCAGUCUCAGCAACUUGUCCAGUCAUCAGACCCAGUGGUGAUAAAGCCCGGAAAUUCCUAUAGAGCCUCAUGUACGGCUUCUGGAUUCACCUUCAGUGAUUACCAUAUGCACUGGGUUAGACAGAGUCCUGGCGGAGGAUUACAGUGGGUUGCUUAUAUCAGUGGCCCCUCUGGAAGCAACAUAGCCUAUCAUGAUUCUGUCCAAGGACGAUUCACAAUCUCCAGAGAUAACAGUAAUAACCUGUUAUAUCUACAAAUGACCAACAUGAAGACUGAGGACUCUGCCGUGUAUUACUGUGCUAGGGAUGCACACUGGUAA